CAAAUCAAUUGAACCAAUAAAAUAUAUUAUAAACAUAGUUUGUUCCAUUUCAAGGUAAACAUUUUGUGUUUGUAUUCAAUUCUAGUUCAUAUUUGGAUUCCCGGCAACGGAAUUUGUUUCUAGAUAUUGAACAAAAGGAAUAUGAAUUGUAUACCCAAAAAAAAAAAAGAAAUAUAUGAAUUAACUCAUUUGGGCCCAAACGUGAAGAGUGGUUAAUGGGCUUGGUGUGAGAUGAACAAUUAUCAAAAUUAUCAUUUCCUUUUUUUUUGGUGCGAAACCCUAAAAGAAAAAAAGAGAGGGAAAAAUGGAUAGCGGCGGCGAUAGUGUCGCAAUCGGAGAUUACGACGUUGAGAUGAAGAGAGAAAAGCUGAAAUCAGUUCUCUCUCAGCUACUUGCGGAUCCAAUUCUCGCAGACGUUCCAAGGAACCCUACUCUUUCGGAUGUCGUCACUCUUGUCAGCCUUGAGAAGGGAAGCGCUAUGCGUCUCUCCAUCGUCAAGCUCGACGGCUACUCCCUGGAUGUUGCGGUCAUGAAUUCAGCUACUUUGAAGGAUCUGAAGCUUUUGAUCAAGAAGAAAGUUACUGAGAUGGAGCAAGCAAACAUGGGUCAUCGUCAUAUAUCUUGGAAGCAUGUAUGGUCAAACUUCUGCCUUUCGUACAAUAAUGAGAAGUUGCUUGACGACGAUACUGUUCUUCAGGAUGUCGGAAUCCGAAACAACUCUCAGGUGACAUUCGUUCCAUAUGUGAUGAAGAAGGGUCCGGGAAGACACUCAAAGAGGAGGAAGCAUCGUCUCUUUCGUUCGCUCCAUAAGACUUGUUGAAGCCUUUUUACAUAUGAUGUUUUGUCUUAUGAUUUUUCGUGAUACAAAAAAGGAUGCUUAUGAGUCUACAUUGUCAGUUGAUUUUGCAAAGCGAAGGUGGAGUUGAUAGUCUGAGCCAUGCGAUACUAUCCCUUGAAGAAAGAGGUGACCAAAAAAAACAGCAACAUUGCUUCUCCCAAAUAAGUAGUGCACUAUCACCGGAUCAUUGAAAAACGCUCUGGAGAAUCUCGUAAGCAACGUAAAUCUUAAGUGCAGCAAUUGGCGUUGAUGAUUAUGGUUAGGACGAUAAAUAAAUGUAGUAGAAAAAAGUAGCAAUUGUAAAUGAAGAUGUCUGCAAAAUACUGUUGAAAACUAAAAAGUAAAACAAAUUAUCAUU